GACGAACGCUGGCGGCGUGCUUAACACAUGCAAGUCGAACGGAAAGGCCCUGCUUUUGUGGGGUGCUCGAGUGGCGAACGGGUGAGUAACACGUGAGUAACCUGCCCUUGACUUUGGGAUAACUUCAGGAAACUGGGGCUAAUACCGGAUAGGAGCUCCUGCUGCAUGGUGGGGGUUGGAAAGUUUCGGCGGUUGGGGAUGGACUCGCGGCUUAUCAGCUUGUUGGUGGGGUAGUGGCUUACCAAGGCUUUGACGGGUAGCCGGCCUGAGAGGGUGACCGGCCACAUUGGGACUGAGAUACGGCCCAGACUCCUACGGGAGGCAGCAGUGGGGAAUAUUGCACAAUGGGCGGAAGCCUGAUGCAGCAACGCCGCGUGCGGGAUGACGGCCUUCGGGUUGUAAACCGCUUUCGCCUGUGACGAAGCGUGAGUGACGGUAAUGGGUAAAGAAGCACCGGCUAACUACGUGCCAGCAGCCGCGGUGAUACGUAGGGUGCGAGCGUUGUCCGGAUUUAUUGGGCGUAAAGGGCUCGUAGGUGGUUGAUCGCGUCGGAAGUGUAAUCUUGGGGCUUAACCCUGAGCGUGCUUUCGAUACGGGUUGACUUGAGGAAGGUAGGGGAGAAUGGAAUUCCUGGUGGAGCGGUGGAAUGCGCAGAUAUCAGGAGGAACACCAGUGGCGAAGGCGGUUCUCUGGGCCUUUCCUGACGCUGAGGAGCGAAAGCGUGGGGAGCGAACAGGCUUAGAUACCCUGGUAGUCCACGCUGUAAACGGUGGGUACUAGGUGUGGGGUCCAUUCCACGGGUUCCGUGCCGUAGCUAACGCUUUAAGUACCCCGCCUGGGGAGUACGGCCGCAAGGCUAAAACUCAAAGGAAUUGACGGGGCCCCGCACAAGCGGCGGAGCAUGCGGAUUAAUUCGAUGCAACGCGUAGAACCUUACCUGGGUUUGACAUGGAUCGGGAGCGCUCAGAGAUGGGUGUGCCUCUUUUGGGGUCGGUUCACAGGUGGUGCAUGGUUGUCGUCAGCUCGUGUCGUGAGAUGUUGGGUUAAGUCCCGCAACGAGCGCAACCCUUGUUCACUGUUGCCAGCACGUUAUGGUGGGGACUCAGUGGAGACCGCCGGGGUCAACUCGGAGGAAGGUGGGGAUGACGUCAAGUCAUUAUGCCCCUUGUGUCCAGGGCUUCACGCAUGCUACAAUGGCUGGUACAGAGAGUGGCGAGCCUGUGAGGGUGAGCGAAUCUCGGAAAGCCGGUCUCAGUUCGGAUUGGGGUCUGCAACUCGACCUCAUGAAGUCGGAGUCGCUAGUAAUCGCAGAUCAGCAACGCUGCGGUGAAUACGUUCCCGGG
rnacentral:rRNA from 1 species